rfam:Gossypium arboreum cultivar AKA8401 contig_104378_1, whole genome shotgun sequence.
GAUUCGUGAUGAGGGCACUUCCGUAAUAAUUCUUUGUACCUUUCUCAUGCUUCACACAAGGACUCAUCAUACAUUUUUUGGAAAGCAGUGUUCUCAUUCCUCAACUC